rnacentral:rRNA from 11 species
CGAGCGGCGGACGGGUGAGUAAUACUUAGGAAUCUACCUAGUAGUGGGGGAUAGCUCGGGGAAACUCGAAUUAAUACCGCAUACGACCUACGGGAGAAAGGGGGCAACUUGUUGCUCUCGCUAUUAGAUGAGCCUAAGUCGGAUUAGCUAGAUGGUGGGGUAAAGGCCUACCAUGGCGACGAUCUGUAGCUGGUCUGAGAGGAUGAUCAGCCACACCGGGACUGAGACACGGCCCG